UAGCUCAGUCGGUAGAGCACUUGACUGAAAAUCAAGGCGUCGCCAGUUCGAGUCUGGC
rnacentral:tRNA from 1 species